CCUAUUGUAGCACGAAUGGCCCAGGAUGUUUUGGCUGCUCCUGCAUCAACUAUACCUUCUGAAUCUCCGUUCAGUACAGGAGGCCGAAUCAUCUCUGACCAUAGAACUAGGCUGUCAGGCAACACUGUGGAAGGUUUGAUUUGAUUCUAGGACUGGCUUAGAGAACCAGGUUCAUCUUACUUGGACAUCAUAAAGAUUAACAGCUCCGGUAGCAGCAUUGAAGAGCUUGGAGUUGCAUGAUGACUUGAAAGACAAGUUAUAGCUCAAGAGGAGGAAGUAUACCAAGAUUGUUUUCUUCUGAAGAUUUUGGUGAUCCUUGCACUACCUGGACACUUGACUACUACAGGAGGAAGUGUUUCCAAUUGAGCUUGAGAUGACCCUAGAGCUAAUGAUGUCUGCGAACUACCUAGACAUCUGAAUCCUAUUACAAUUCGGUGUUGUUCUCUUUAACAUUGUAAUGACCGAAAAUAGUGCGAUUUAUAUUUGUUGUUGCUAACUGGGAAUAGAAUAUGUCCUGCCUCAUACA